UACAGAGGGUGCAAGCGUUAUCCGGAUUUACUGGGUUUAAAGGGAGCGCAGGCGGAUUGGUAAGUCAGUGGUGAAAUACCCGUGCUUAACAUGGGAACUGCCAUUGAUACUAUCAGUCUUGAAUGUUGUUGAGGUUUGCGGAAUGGGUCAUGUAGCGGUGAAAUGCAUAGAUAUGACCCGGAACACCUAUUGCGAAGGCAGCUUACUACGGAUAUAUUGACACUGAGGCACGAAAGCGUGGGGAUCAAACAGG
rnacentral:rRNA from 1 species